CGCCCCCACCCCUAGGCCAAUCACAGUCCGGGGAGGGGCGUUUCCGGCGGCUUCGAGGCGGGACUUCCUGUCUCGCUGUAGAGCCUCCUUCCGGGAGCGGUUGGUGGUUGAAAGGCGAUCACGUGGACCGGAGCGCAGCUCCGGGACCGUGUCUCUAGGGCCUGGCGGGUAAGGCCAGCAAGGUAGCGGGCCUAUCUCCGCACCUCAUCGGAGCCGUGACGCCCCAGCCCCGGCUCCUUCGCCGUGACACUGUGUCUCCGUCUACGGGACAGGAGACUUCGCGCCUCGCGUUUGCCAGUCUCCGCCGAGACUGCACGUUUCUGCAGGCCUCCACCCGCGCUCCGUCGCCUAGGGCCCCGAGGACGGCGGCCUGGGCCUUUCGGGCAUUUGACGUCAUUUUGUUGUUGUUGUCGUUUGACAUCAUUUUAUAGCGGGGUUCGGAGUUUGAGGCGCAGCCCGAGGGGACCUGCCCUGGUCUCCCGCCGCACGGGGCCCCAUUCCUCCCGCUGUGCCCAGCGGCAGUGGAAGGCGCCGCAGCACUGAUGAACCCGGCGCAGGGCUGUGUGACCUUCGAGGAUGUGUUCGUGUACUUCUCCCGGGAGGAGUGGGAGCUGCUAGAGGAAGCUCAGAGACUCCUGUACCGUGAUGUGAUGCUGGAGAACUUUGCACUUGUGUCAUCACUGGGACUUGCAGUUUCCAGGUCUCAUGGGGCUACCCAGCUGCAGCCAGAGGGGAGCCUGGGGUGCCUGAGGAGGUAGACGCUGCUCCGGUCAGAGCAGAGAAGACCUGGAGGAGGCCCAGGCCUGGUGAGUGGAGGGCACGGGCAUCAGGGCUGGCUUCACUUUAUAGCAGCAGUUUGCACUGCGUCUAUGGUGUGUUCUUCCCCAACUUUGAUGCGUUGCUCAUUUGUCACUCUACUCUGCCCUUAGGCACCUGUUCAUCCCACCCCCCUUUCUAGUCGCACAUCUUAUCUGACUUCUUGCUCCUCCAUGCAGCGCUCCACGGCAUUGGGUUUCUUUUAACGUGUCACGAGAUGUGCACAUAUCCUUAGUUUUCCUUGAACACUAUCAGGCCAGAUAUUCUGUUCUGGGCCAGGUUAGAUAUUCUGUCAGGCCAGGUUUUUCUGGCCCUGGCUGGACCCUUUUUCACAGCACUCAACCAGCACAAGGAACCAAGAGCCUUGCUUGGAGACCAUCUGCAUGGUGUGGUUCAGAGAGCCCCUGGUCACACUGUGCCCCAUCGUGGUAUCCCCUCCUCCAAGGUUCCCUUCCCCUCCUCCUCCUGAUUCUGGGCCCCAUCUGAGGCCCGCGGUCCCACAGACCCAUUGCAGUUACCAGACACGGGUUUGUCACCGGAGGCCACCAGCUGAACGUGCGCUUCAGCCGCAUCUGUCUUCCUUCAGGUUGUUGGCCCGGAGUGGCGGGUGUGGCUGCACCUUCUGAGCAGUGGGUUCCUGUGAGCCGGCUGCAGAUGAGAACUGCCCAGGCUGAGCCCUCCACCCACACGGCUCACCCCUGCGACAUGUGUGGCCCAGUCUUGAAAGACAGUUUGGCCCCUGGCUGAGCUGCAGGGAACUCCCCGCAGGUGAAUCAUGGGGAGAGAUUUCGGGUGUAGUGUAAACCUCGACCAGAUGCAGAAGCGGUAGAAUGGAGUCUUCAGGAGAGAAAACGCAGGCUUCAUUUGUAAAGUACUGCGGAUCCUGUACGUCAGAGACAGCCUUCACUUGCAGGGAGGGUGGAGAGGACUUCCCGGCCAGCACGCGGCCCCUCGCCAUGGGGAGAGGCCAAGCGGGCAUGUCAGGAGCUUAUUCUCUGCUGUCAUCGCCAUGGGGUCCUUUUGGGUGCUGGACUCCCGUUGGGCCGGAAAGCACAACUGAGGCCAUAAAGCUUGCUGCCUCUCAGCGGCCCUUGUUGGAGGGAACGUUGCUCCAGGGUCAGUUGACUCUGGGACUCUGGGUUAGAGCAAACUAGAAAUCAGAAAUGCAAGAAGGGCUGUGGAGCCCAGGGACAGUUUCCCACAAGGAGAGUCUUCAGGAGGAUGAGCUGUGAACACAGUGGUGUGAGAACAGGUGAAAGUCUGCACUCCAACAAUUACUGGAACAAUUACUCCGGUAGAUGCUUUUCAUAAACAGAACUCACGUGCACCAGGGAAAGCUUCCAUGAUCUACGCAGGCAAGAAUCUCUGCAAGUGGAAGAAAUGUGGGAUGGCUUUAACAGACAUUGAUGUGCCUUUCUCCCGAGGGUGGGCCCGAGUCAGCACAUGAGGAUUUAUGCUCAGCAGAACCAUGGGAGUGGUCAGGCUAUGCAGCAAUAGCACAUUCACACUGAGAAGCCUUAUGGACGCAGAGAGUGUGGGGAAGUAUCUGUGUCUGCUCUGCUUUUGUUCCAAGUAACAUUUCCCAUUCCAAAGACAGUCGUACUUUGAGUGCAGAGUAUGUGGGCACAGCUUUCGUGACAACUUUUUUCACUCAUCGUGUGAGGGUUCUCACAGGAGAGGAUCCCAGAGUGCAGUGAAUGUGGAAAGGCCUUCAUUCACCCUUAUUUGUCUGGCCUAAUAGGAUCCAUGCUGGAGAAAAACCGUUUGAGUAUAAGAAUAUCAGAGAGCCUUUCGUUAUAGCUCCUCCCUGAUUCCAUAUGGGAAGGCUCACAUGAGGGAGAAACGCUGUGAAUCCAGUGAAUGUGGACAGCCCCUCUGCCUUCAUUUAUUCCUUACCAAGCCUCAGAGUGUUCACACUGGGGAGAAACCCUGUGAGCGUAAGAAAUGGGCCAAAGCCUUUUACAUGUGAACUUGUCUCAGGCACUAUCAGAGAACUCAUACUGGGAAAAGACCAUUUGAAUGUAACUCCUGGGGAAAAUCUUCUGAACAGAGGAAGCAUCAUACUCUGAGGAAUUAUACCAAAGAGAAAUAACUGUUCGUAUGCUGUGAGAAAAUCUUCUGAGAUCAGUCAUCACUUACUGUCAUUGGAAGAGUCAUAUAGGAAAUGGACCCAUCCUAGGAUGUUGCAUCUGAGAAAUUAUAAAGGAGAGAGAACCAGUGGCUACUGUGCAGUUUCAGAAAUCUUCAACCAUAGCUCUGCCCUUACUAUGCACUGAAAAAGCAACCACAGGAAUAUUUAAAAAACAAAAACAAAGGAGAAAGAAAAGUAUAAGUAGAUAGAACAGGCCAAGAAAUGUAUUUAUGACUUUUUUUCUAAUUUUCCUCAGAAACCAGUGAGAGUUAAUUGGCUGGGUUUUUUGUUGUUGCUGUUUUUGAGUGUCAAAACAAACUCUCAAUUUGUUUGAGAGAUUAAACACCUGAAUUAAUAUGCACUGUGUGCCAUGCCACACCAGGAAAGCUGGAAGCUUGAGAACAUCUCUGCAAAUGUUACUUGUUACGAAACAUCAUCUUAGGUGAUGCUUGAUUUAUGAAGCCUUUAAAACUUAAAUUAGGAUACAAAAAUGUUGUCUGAAAUUAUAAUCUAAAGACAUAAGGACACACUUAUGAAUGGAUCCAUUUUACUUAACUACUUAAAA